GUUCCGACCCCCAGUGACCCCCAGUUUACGUGGCAAACUCACGCGAUGUUCACGUGAUUAUCAACGGUCUCACAUUUGAAAAUAAUCUCCCCUCAAACACUUAUCUCUCUCUUCGUUCCGCUUUGAUGGUUGAGACGGCUGGACUAGCAGGUAGUUCCCUUCACUCCCGACGCCGGCGACAGCUCCUUCCCUUCACUCCGACGCCGGAUUCGGACUCUCUCUGUCUCUCUUUCCCUGUCAUCCGACGAUUAAGAGAUGUCAAGUUCAAGUGUCAGUGGCAAUAGCUCAGAUUGGUUGACAUACGUCAACAGAAAUUGUGGUACAUGUCAUAAAAAGGCCACCAUUUUAAUAUCACAAACCGAUCGAAACAAAAACAAGUUAUUCUACUCCUGUAAUAAUUGUGGUUUUAUCGGAUGGUGUUUACCUACGAAUCCAGAACAUAGAGGUCAUCAAAUUCCAAGAGACGAAGUGCCAAUUGUCGGUGAACAAGUUAUGACCGAACAACUUCGAGCUAUGACCGAACAACAAAUAGAGAUGACGGAACAACUUCGAAUUCAGAACGCAAAGAUGUAAAAGUUGAUAUGUAUAUUGUCCGUGUUGCUUGUAAUUGGUGUCUUUAAAGUUAUGAAUAUGUAAUAACAUAUAUAUACAUAUAUGUAAGUUAGAAGUAGAAGUAGAUGUCAAUGUACAAGUUCAAGUAGACUGAAUACUUUUGUGAUGUUUUCGAGGAAGUUAUGUUUUGUUGUGUAUUGAAACCUAAUUAUUGUACCUC